GAGCAAAAUCUGAAUCUCAGAU
rnacentral:snRNA from 1 species